AAGGAAAUAAGAGCGCACUGUGGAUGCCUAGGCACCAAGAGCCGAUGAAGGACG
rnacentral:rRNA from 1 species